rnacentral:rRNA from 1 species
UGGGGAAUUUUGGACAAUGGGCGAAAGCCUGAUCCAGCAAUGCCGCGUGUGUGAAGAAGGCCUUCGGGUUGUAAAGCACUUUUGUCCGGAAAGAAAUCCUUGGCUCUAAUACAGUCGGGGGAUGACGGUACCGGAAGAAUAAGCACCGGCUAACUACGUGCCAGCAGCCGCGGUAAUACGUAGGGUGCAAGCGUUAAUCGGAAUUACUGGGCGUAAAGCGUGCGCAGGCGGUUUGCUAAGACCGAUGUGAAAUCCCCGGGCUCAACCUGGGAACUGCAUUGGUGACUGGCAGGCUAGAGUAUGGCAGAGGGGGGUAGAAUUCCACGUGUAGCAGUGAAAUGCGUAGAGAUGUGGAGGAAUACCGAUGGCGAAGGCAGCCCCCUGGGCCAAUACUGACGCUCAUGCACGAAAGCGUGGGGAGCAAACAGGAUUAGAUACCCUGGUAGUCCACGCCCUAAACGAUGUCAACUAGUUGUUGGGGAUUCAUUUCCUUAGUAACGUAGCUAACGCGUGAAGUUGACCGCCUGGGAGUACGGUCGCAAAGAUUAAAACUUCAAAGGAAUUGACGGGGUCAUAGCUGUUUCCU